rnacentral:rRNA from 1 species
UACGAAGGGGGCUAGCGUUGUUCGGAAUUACUGGGCGUAAAGCGCACGUAGGCGGAUAUUUAAGUCAGGGGUGAAAUCCCAGAGCUCAACUCUGGAACUGCCUUUGAUACUGGGUAUCUUGAGUAUGGAAGAGGUAAGUGGAAUUGCGAGUGUAGAGGUGAAAUUCGUAGAUAUUCGCAGGAACGCCAGUGGCGAAGGCGGGUCUCUGGGCCAUAACUGACGCUGAGGAGCGAAAGCGUGGGGAGCGAACAGG